rnacentral:rRNA from 1 species
GACGAACGCUGGCGGCGUGCCUAACACAUGCAAGUCGUACGGGACCGGGGGCAACUCCGGUUCAGUGGCAGACGGGUGCGUAACACGUGAGGAACUUGUCCGGUGGCGGGGGAUAGCCGGCCCAACGGGCCGGGUAAUACCGCAUACGCUCGUUCGGGGGCAUCCCUGGGCGAGGAAAGCAGCCGCAAGGUUGCGCCGACGGAGGGCCUCGCGACCUAUCAGCUUGUUGGCGGGUAACGCCCACCAAGGCGACGACGGGUAGCUGGUCUGAGAGGAUGAUCGGCCACAUUGGGACUGAGACACGGCCCAGACUCCUACGGGAGGCAGCAGUGGGGAAUAUUGCGCAAUGGCCGCAAGGCUGACGCAGCGACGCCGCGUGUGGGAUGACGGUCUUCGGAUUGUAAACCACUGUCAGGGGGAACGAAUACAGGGCUUCGAUAAGGAGACCCCGUGGGUGACGGUACCUACCAAAGGAGCACCGGCUAACUCCGUGCCAGCCGCCGCGGUAA